CCUGGUGGUCAUUGAGAGGGGGAAAUACCUGAUCCCAUCCCGAACUCAGAAGUCAAGCCCCUCAUCGCCGAUGGUACUGCACGCAAGAGUGUGGUAGAGUAGGUUGCCGCCAGGU
rnacentral:rRNA from 1 species